rnacentral:rRNA from 1 species
ACGGUCUUUUAGGAGACAGUGGCGGACGGGUGAGUAACGCGUAAGAAUCUACCUUCAGGUUGGGGACAACCACUGGAAACGGUGGCUAAUACCGAAUGUGCCGAGAGGUGAAAGGCUUGCUGCCUGAAGAAGAGCUUGCGUCUGAUUAGCUAGUUGGUAGUGUAAGAGACUACCAAGGCGACGAUCAGUAGCUGGUCUGAGAGGAUGAUCAGCCACACUGGGACUGAGACACGGCCCAGACUCCUACGGGAGGCAGCAGUGGGGAAUUUUCCGCAAUGGGCGAAAGCCUGACGGAGCAAUACCGCGUGAGGGAGGAAGGCUCUUGGGUUGUAAACCUCUUUUCUCAGGGAAGAACAGAAUGACGGUACCUGAGGAAUAAGCAUCGGCUAACUCCGUGCCAGCAGCCGCGGUAAUACGGAGGAUGCAAGCGUUAUCCGGAAUGAUUGGGCGUAAAGGGUCCGCAGGUGGCAUUGUAAGUCUGCUGUUAAAGAGUUUGGCUCAACCAAAUAAGAGCAGUGGAGACUACAAAGCUAGAGUGUGGUCGGGGCAGAGGGAAUUCCUGGUGUAGCGGUGAAAUGCGUUAGAUAUCAGGAAGAACACCAGUGGCGAAGGCGCUCUGCUAGGCCGAGACUGACACUGAGGGACGAAAGCUAGGGGAGCGAAUGGGAUUAGAUACCCCAGUAGUCCUAGCCGUAAACGAUGGAUACUAGGCGUAGCUCGUAUCGACCCGAGCUG